UCUGGGUGCAGUGGUGCAUGCCUGUAGUCCCAGCUACUCAGGAGGCUGAGGCUGGGGGAUUGCUUGAGCCCAGGAGUUCUGGGCUGUAGUGUGCUGUGCGGAUCGGGUGUCUGCACUGAGUUCAGCAUCAAUGUGGUCACCUCCCAGGAUCGGGGGACCACCAGGUUGCCUAAGGAGGGGUAAACCGGCCAAGGUAGGAAACAAAGCAAGUCAAAACCCCCAUUGCUGACCAGUAGUGGGAUCGCGCCUGUGAAUGAAUAACCACUGCCCUCCAGCCUGGGCAACAUAGAGAGACCCGGUCUCUA
ensembl:misc_RNA Metazoa_SRP Metazoan signal recognition particle RNA